rnacentral:lncRNA from 1 species
GCAGAGACUUUAAUUCUAUUAAAUUUUAAAAUUGAAGACUCUUAUUUCUGAGAAAUGUUUUAUCAUGAAUGGUAGCAAUGUGAAUGCAAGGAAGAAGAGAAGAGAAAUUUGUGUAAAAUGGAUUGGGGAAAUGUUUAAUAAUCUUUCAAGACAUAUGGAACAGGUGAAAGCCUGUUGUACGAAUUGGGAAAAGUUUUGCCAAAACAUGAAGAAACAACAUUACAAAAGUACUUAAAAUUAAUAUUUGUCAAGUCAUCAUUGAUUCUCAUUUCCAGCAUUUAGAUUUUCUUCAGUUUAUGUCUGUCAGUUGCUAAUUCGUUUCUUGCUUCUCAGAAAAACAGGCAUCAUCUUUCCUUUGUCAUUGCAGCAGGUUAUACUCGUGUGCAAUAUUGAUAAGAUACGGAGGAGAAGUUUUGAAACACCCAGUGUCACCCUAUCACGUUUUAUUUUUCUUGUCAGAGAAAUAGUGUGCUCCCCGCAGUGUCUCCAAGUUAUUCAGCUUCAUUCCAGGAAAGCUGCUGUUUAUCUUCUAGCUGGAGACAUAGGAAGAGAAGGAAUUUCAGUGAAAGAAGAGUCCAGGGAAGCGAUGGAUAUCAUUACAAGACUCUCUAUGGGAUCUGUCUCCCCGUGUGAAUGAGAUAGUAACCCUUCCAGCAAGAAUUGCACACCAUCCAUGCACAUGGGGAAAUGGAAUUUGUUUUUACCACUUCUGCUUUUGAGAGACGCGUUGGCCAGUAGUGUGUGCAUGUGUCAGAAGUGUUGAAUGACCCCAACAUUCCGGUGAGAAAUGAAGUAGUGUGGUUGUUUCCUAUUUGCUGAGGAUGAUUGAGGCCCCUCCCUCACCCACAGUUCACAUGACUGCAGAAGGUGACUGUAUUUGGAAAAUACAUUCUUUAAAGACAUAGUUAAGACGGGGAAGCGGGGGGAAGGAGGGAAAGACUGGGGUUGGGGAUGGGCAUAUGAACAUAGAGGUAUAUGGGAUGAUUGGCCAACAGGGACCUGCUGUAUAGCACAGACAACUCUACCCAAUAUUCCAUGAUAAUGUAUGGGGGAAAAGAAUCUGAAAGAGAAUGGAUGUGUAUACCUAUAAAAAAAAAGGUUAUUCAGUUAAAAUGAGGUCCCUGGGAUGGGUCCUGAUCCAACAGAUGUGUGUCCUUAGAAGAAGAAGAAUUAGGAUACAGACAAGCACAGAGGGAAGAGCGUGGGAAGACACAGAGAGAGGAUGGCCAUCCAUAAGCCAAGGAAGGAGGAUGCCUCAGGAGAAAGCAAGCCGGCUGAUACCUUGAUCUUAAACUUCCAGCCUCCAGAACUGGGAGUAUAAAUGUCUGCUGUUGAAGCCAUGGAGGCUGUGGUAUUUUGCUGCAGUAGCCCGGGAACACUCGGACAUGGGAUUCCAAGUCUCUCGUGCAACGGUCUUGACAGGGAUGGAGUGGGACAGUUACACAGGUAGUUGUAGAAGUCCCAAUAAAGGGCCGUAAAUAGAGAGGGAAACCGAGGGAACUUUGGGAGAUCACUGCAAAAUAGUAACUGCUCAAGAAAGCCACCAGAACGUGGCAGGCUUGUUUGACUACUGGAGGCGCAAGAUACACUGCAGGCCAUUGGGUGGGGGAUGGGGCGGGGCCUGCGUUCGGGUUCAGGCCAAGGGCAGUUUAAGGACCACCCUUCUGCUGAUUUGAAUCAGCACCAUGGCAGUCCUAGCCUGACCUUAUAGGGUCAAAUACUGUCUUAGCAGAUACCCAGGAGGAGCUACUACUUGAA